UACGGAGGGUGCAAACGUUGCUCGGAAUCAUUGGGCGUAAAGCGCACGUAGGCGGCCUGAUAAGUCGGGUGUGAAAUCCCUGGGCUCAACCCAGGAAGUGCACUCGAAACUGUCAGGCUUGAAUAUGGAAGAGGGUCGCGGAAUUCCCGGUGUAGAGGUGAAAUUCGUAGAUAUCGGGAGGAACACCAGUGGCGAAGGCGGCGACCUGGGCCAAUAUUGACGCUGAGGUGCGAAAGCGUGGGGAGCAAACAGG
rnacentral:rRNA from 1 species